UUCACAAGACUUUAUGCACAUAUAGGAGAAAAAGAAUACAAUCAGCAGCAAUGAGGCUUUUCAUUUCUCCUAUAAGGAGAUGUGUGAGUUGAGGUGGAAAGGGGCAGGAGGAGGGGAGGCCUUUGGUCUGUCAAAGUGGAGUUAAUCUGAACCUGAGGCAUCACGUUCAUUUUUGAUGGAGGCCAGAGAUAGGACGUCGAGGCGGAGGAGGAGGAGGGCUGGAAGGAUGAAAGAUCACCCACACCUGUGAGGGGCUGCUGAAAGUUACAACUCACUCAAAGAGGCCUUUCUAUCACUGCACCAUUUGUCAAAGAUGAUGGGGCAGCAGCAGCAACAACAGCAGCAACGGCAAGAGCUUCACUCUAUUUCUGUUUCCAAUGGUGGCUCAUCAUGUGGCCUCAUUGCUACGGGAUAAAGUUUACACUGAUUUGUCUCCUUAACAAUAAAUCUUUUCCAAAUGCA